GGUAGGUGGUGCCGCUAGACUAAGCAACAUAACAUUUUUUUUAAAAAAAUUAUUGGGUACAUCACAGUUAGUUCAGAAUCUUGGCCAACAACAACCCAGUUGCUGCCCCAGCUUGGCUUUGCCAUAGUCCUCUCUGGGAACCUCAUCCAGAUCCCAAUGAGGACCAUGAUACUAUGUCCUCUAUGAUGGUUUUGCCAUGUUCUCAGAAUCUCAGAACAUGUACUGCUCAUUAGGGGCCGUUAGUGCACCGAUACAGCCUGUGGUACCCAAGUUUGCAGGAGAGCCACUUCUAUUUAAAAGGAGAUAUCUUAGGAACCCACUGAUCAGUUGUGCCUAACCCAACCCAAGGUGUAGCAUCUUAAUCAAUCUAGGGCUUACCCAACUGAAAAUGGAUAUGUUGUCUCCCCUGAGAAAUAAUAACCAUGUUCGCUCUAUGGAAGGAUUUGGGGCAAGGGAGACAGUAAGAAAUGAUUACUUUUAACGUGUAAGCCCUUCCUGCUUUCACUUUGCCAGUCCUUGCAACCCCAUAUCCCAACAGCCUUCCUCUUUAACCGCAUACUGUGUAUCAUGAAUAUCCAAUCGGAAUCAGUAUUUGAAUUAUUUGCAUGAAACAAUGACACCCAAAUACAGACAUGGAUAUAGAGACAAUGCAGGCACGACUCAGCAGCUUUUGAAAAUUUCGGGUACAGCAAAUCCUUCCAAUGUACGGAAUUCUGUAAGGUUUUGAUUGGACAAAUCAAUAAUCAACCAACUAUUGUACGUGACAAUUCAUCAUAUGUAUUGGGGUUUAUUUAAAUAUUGAACCCAUGAAGAGUCUUGUUUUGGAACAGGUGUGUGUAGAGCAUGUAGACUAAGUUGGAUAAUGUUAGUGCAUCUCCUGUGUUAGGUGGCUCGCACGUAUGUGCGUGUAUGUUUUGGGCUCUUUUGUUUUCAAAAGGCUAAACCUAUCACAUAGGAUAAACUAUAGGGCUAUCAUGUAACAAGGAGAGACUAGUAGGACUUGGUUCCUACAAUGGGAUAGGGGAACCUAGACUUAUAAAUUAAAGACACUUGGCCGCACUCCAUCUGUACCUUUCUUUACCGGAGGGGAACUCGUAUUGAUAUGCUGCCAACUCUGCUAGUGUGGCCGGUUCGAGGUCAGGCUGCCUCUGCUUGCCUUCUUAUUGCCACCUUUUCCUCUAUACACCUAUCCCAUCGUAGAAUGUGUGGAGCGACAAUCAGAACGGUCCAUCUUGAAGACAAUAGGAUAAGGAAAAUGCCAUGUCUUCAAUUAGUUAUGGCCCAAGAUAUGUUUCCAAUCUUCGUAUCAAUUUAUGUUUUUCCAAAAGAUGUUAUUGUGUAUGAAUGCAUUUCACAAUCCAGGCUAAGAAAUCCUAACCGUUGAUUUAUUGUAUGAAAAUUAACAUGUGGUAUCAUAGUGUAGGUUUUGAGAUAACACAUAUGAAAUCCAUUAUCAAUGAAAAAUCGUACAAUCGUUUCGACCCAUUUCAUAGAAUAUAGAUCACAUAAUGAAAACUUCCAUGCACGCUUCUUCUAGAUUCCCAUUCUUCUAGAUUCCCAUUCAAGAACAUCGUUUUCACAUCCAUAUAAAUUAUUGAUGUUGAACUGAAAUUAUCAGUUGGAAUAAUCACGGGAGAAACAAUAUAGAUGUGAUCCAUGCUAUUAAAUCGGUGAAAACAAUUACAUAGUUUUCCAUUGAUCAUAGAUUUGCAUAUGUUUAAUCUCAACCUACGCUCUAAUACCACGUUCAAUUGAUCAUAGAUUUGCAUAUUAACCAAUGCUCCAAUACCACAUGUUAGCUUUCAUGAAAUCAAAUCAACAGUUAGAAUUCCUUAGUUAGACUUGUCUUACAAAUGCAUAUGCAAUAACAUCAUUUGAAAAAUCAUAAAUCGAUACAAAUAUCGCAAACAUAUCUCGAGCCAUAAUUAAUCAUAUAGAUGCACGCGGUUCCUUAUCCACCAACUUCAAGAUGAACAUCUCUAAUUAUCCCUCCACGCAUCUAUUCACGUGAACAGUCUUAGCUCGUCUUCUCACCAAUUCUCUUCCAAAUGUGUGCGCUUAUAAAUUAAUAGCCUUAUACAUUGUUUGAGCUUGGAUGGAAAUAGUUAAGACUCACUAAUUUAUAUAGCUAGGUUCUCUAUCGCAUCAUAGGAGCCAAGUCUCAUUGAGCUUUUACUUCCUUAUCACAUGUUAAUCUUUAUCUUUAUCUUACUUGAAUAGGUUUAGCCUUUUAAAAACAAAAGAUCUCAUGUUUUUCAUAACUUUCAAAAGUUAGACAUCGUGGACACGUUAACAGAGGUGGCAGUCUCACUUCGGAAUCUCACAUUCCAGAACUAGUGGCAAAUGUGUACAAUAUCCCAACCAUUCAUUUCAUGGACCCCACCGUGUAUUUUCUAUAACCCAAGAAUUAGUCCAAUUCUCAGUUGCGCAUACAUGUCUAGAGAUGGGCACUAGAGACGGGUGUGGAUUAGGUACUUCACUUGCCUGUUCGGAGCUUGGGACAGGCGGAGGCUCUGAGGAGACCCUUAGUUGCCCUCGGAGCCUCCACCUGUCCCGAGCUUGGAACAACGGGGGAAGGGAAACGGAUUGGCUACUCCCCCUGACACCAGCCCCAUGGCUGAUGGUCGGUGCUCUGUGGGCCCCACCAUGAUGUAUGUGUUUCAUCCAUUUCGUUCAUCCAUUUUUACAUAUCAUUUUAAGGCUUGAUUCCAAAAAUGAGAGGGAUAUAAAUCUCAGUAUCGGGGUACACAAGCUGUUCUACCAUUUCAGUAUCCUCAUUCCUUAGUUAAACCAUAUGUCAUCAAAUCUUUUCACAAUACAUCCACUCACAUCCUUUUGGGCCUUCCCAAUGCCCUUUUAGCGCCUUCAACUUGAACCAACUCAUUAUUCCAUACAGGUGCAAUUCUUAGUCUCUGUUGCUCUUCACCAAACCAUCCAAGUAUACGUCCUCUCUUAUUAUCUAUUAGUGCUACUCCCAAGUUUCCUCAGAUGUAUUCAUUUUGUAUCCUGGUACUUUUCUGUCAUCAAUCUUAAGUAAAUCCUCAUUUCUACUAAUCCCACAAUAGGCUUUCUCCUAAAGUUUCAUAGUAUAAGUUUAAUCCCACGAUAGUCACUCCCCCACAGUUUCAUGAUAUGACUUAAGUUUAGUCCCAUGAUACUCACUCUUACCCAAAGUUCCAUAGUAUGACUUAAUAAGUUCAAUCCCACAAUAGUUAGUGGAGCUUUGUACGUCUCCUUUAUUCUUGUAGAUAUGUACAGCAAUACUUUCCAUCCAUUCAUCUUGCAUUUUUUUUCCAUCAUACAAUUUUGUUAAACAAAUUUGUCAACCAAAAUAAACCAAUAUCUCAUGCACUUCCAAACCUCUACUGGUUUACUGUCUAGUCUUAGUGCCUUUCCUAUUUAUGUCUAUCUCAAGGUUCUUUCACUUCAAAUAUCAUAAUCCCUCGAAGGUAUCUAUGGCCUCUAACCUCAUUUGAGUCAUGAUUCCUUUUAUCUCUGAGCUCUCAAAGUGGUCAUCAUUUAACAAGUUCUGAAAAUAACUUCUCCACCUUUUCAGUGAUCUCGUUGUCCCUAGUUAAUACCCCCAGUCAUUGCUCUCCAUGCAUCUACAUGAUCCAGGUCUCUACCCUUCCCCUCUCUCGUUUUGCAAGUUUGAAGACAUUUUUUCUCACCUUCUCUUCUACCCCAAUCUAUUGUAUAGAUCAUUGUAUACCUUAAGUUUAUAGAAGGCAAGGAAUAAUUGAUGCUUCUGAAAGCAAAGUGGAAGGGCAUCAAAGGGCAUAGUUAGAUGUAAUGGGUUGGCCCUCAAGCACAAAGGCCCUCAAUGAGUGGAACCUUUCUUCUUUGCAUUAAUCAUCCUCAGUGUAAUUUGCCUGAGAUUUCCAUCUUUGGCUUUUCUUUUUCAAAUAAAAUAUUGUUACCUUUCAAAAAAUUUAAAAAAAAUAAAAUAUGCCUCAUGUUUAGCCUCACUGCUUUCUUAGCAUUCUUUUUGGUGCUUAUAAAUUAUUCUAAAGUUUCCUCACUUCUAGCCCCUUGCUAGGUCUUGAAACACAUUCGUUUCUCACUAAAUAGCCUUUUGGAUCUCAUUAUUCCACCACCAAGUUUCCUUAUACGAGUGGCUUUCCCAACUAAAUAUUCCUCGAACAUUUCUCAACACGUUCCCCAGCGCUUCACCAUUCCAUUGCACAUAAGAUAAAGUCAUGUCUCGACAUUCCACUUUUCCAUUAAUUUAUACUAAAAACACUGUUCCCCGCUUUUAAAUUCCACCACAUCGGCCUUAGAUACCUAUUAAUUUCAGUCCCUCCCUUCCAUCUCUCAAUGUAAGCAUUGCUAACCGUCAACUUAUGUAGUUAAACUCUCUCUCGGUAUUACCUUGCAGUCUUUACAUUUUGAUUGCUCAUUUCGAAGCAGAAAAAAGUCCAUCUGGCUUGUAUAUGAUCCACUUUUGAAGGUUAUUAAACAUUCAUCUCUCUUUUGAAACGACGCAUUUGCUAGAGCUAGGUUGUAUGCCAUAGCAAAAUCAAGGAUGGUUUCCCCCAUCACAUUUAUUGUGCCAAUACCAUGGCCUCCAUGUAUCCUUUCAUAUUUUCUAUUAUCUUUUCCUACAUUAUUGGUCAAGUCUUUGAGGUGGUGAGAACGGUUAUGGAGCCUUUGAUAGGAAUGAUUGGCAAAAUAGGAUUCAUAAAUCUAAAUCCCAAGUGGCCAGAAAAAUGCUAUGGUGAUGAUUGAUGACAGUGUUGCUGUUGAUGAGGAUGAUCAUCAUGGAGGAAAUGGCCAGUAAUGUAGGUAGGACAUUUCUAAUGAUGUCCAACCCCUAGAUGAAAUGCAAUUCCUCGCAUUUCAUUUAAGACUGGAAACAAUUUGAGUAGCUAUUUUGGGGCUAGCCCCUCAUUAUUGAUGGGGUGUAGCUAGCAUCAUGUAGGUUACUUUUCACAUUAUUGGGAGAUAUUAUCCUUGAUAUUUGUAUUAGAUAAAUAGAUAAUACAUGCAUAUGCACGCACGGAGAUGAUUCAUGUUUGUGUAGACAUCCAUGCAUAAAUUGACAAACAAAACGAGGAUGCUUGGUUGAUUCUUCAUCCUUGUUACCUCAUAUUACUGUAUGGUUUGUGCUUUCUGUUGUGAAAAUUUUCUUGACUCUGACAUCGACAUCGAUGGAGCUUAUUUUCGCACCACAUUUCCUCACCUGUUCAUGAUGACCUAUGGUCACCUCAAGCCACAGAAGGCAUCUCAGAGCUAUGUUCCAAGAAUAUUUGGCUUCAAGAUUCACAAGCCUUGAAAGGUUUGCGUUGGUUAGUCCACCACAUGUCAUUGGGUAAGAAUUCACAAAAGUUUCAAUUAUUAUGCUUGCUUCUAUUGAUGAGGAGCAAUUCCUUGUCUUAUGAGUUCUACCCUGGCACACAAGUUCAGAAGAGGCUGGAAAAUGCAACCACGCCCCUUAAAUAUUUUUUGGAAAUAUUUGGAAAGCGAAUUGAUUACUUGUCCAGCUGUAGCUUCUUUUUUAAUUUAUCUGUAUUCACUAUUUACAGAGCCUUGUGAGCUUUCAAUGGUUGAGAAUUCAGAGCGCCAUGCAUUGUGGGGUUGUUGGUUGGGUUUCCUUCUGAAUAUUUUAUUUCACAUGUUUGUGUACCCAAUAUCCACGGUAAUCCCCAACAUUUGCAUUUGCCCAGAUUUUUAAUUUGCCUGUUUUCCUUAUUUUCUUGUAAAAUGGAUCUGUACCACGAAACUGAAAUACUGUAGAUGGUCUUCAGAGUUGCUUUAUUUCCUUUUUGGAUGCCCAUGUUCCUGAUUUUCUUGUAAAAUCUCCAUGCACAUGCAAUGUGCACUUUGGAGCUGCUUUAUGGUAGACAUGCCUCAGAUUGGGAGA